rnacentral:rRNA from 1 species
CAGUCGCCGCGGGAAAACGAAGGGGGCUAGCGUUGUUCGGAUUAACUGGGCGUAAAGGGCGCGUAGGCGGGUUUUUAAGUCAGAGGUGAAAUCCCAAGGCUCAACCUUGGAACUGCCUUUGAUACUGGAAGUCUUGAGUCCGGGAGAGGUGAGUGGAACUGCGAGUGUAGAGGUGAAAUUCGUAGAUAUUCGCAAGAACACCAGUGGCGAAGGCGGCUCACUGGCCCGGUACUGACGCUGAGGCGCGAAAGCGUGGGGAGCAAACAGGAUUAGAUACCCCAGUAGUCCCUGUCUCUUAUAC